rnacentral:rRNA from 1 species
UACAGAGGGUGCGAGCGUUGUCCGGAAUCACUGGGCGUAAAGGGCGCGUAGGCGGCCUGGUAAGUAGAGGGUGAAAUCUCACGGCUCAACCGUGAGGCUGCCUUCUAGACUGCCGGGCUCGAACACAGCAGAGGCUAGUGGAAUUCCCGGUGUAGCGGUGGAAUGCGUAGAGAUCGGGAAGAACAUCGGUGGCGAAGGCGGCUAGCUGGGCUGUUGCUGACGCUGAGGCGCGACAGCGUGGGGAGCAAACAGG